UUAAAUUUAUUUCUAGAUAUUUUAGUCUUUUUGAUGCACUUAUAAAUGGGAUUAUUCUCUUAAAUUCUCUUUCUGAUAGUUCAUUGUUAGUAUACAAAAAUGCAGGAAUGGUGUGGAGGGUGGAGUGCUCACCUGCUGACACUUACAGGCUAGAGUAAGGAUAAAAAAACGACGUCCACGCACACCUGCAAUCAGCAAGGCAGAGGGAGAGUGUAAAGAUGGCUCCCGCCUGUGCCUCCGACCCAGAGAGAGUCCCAACAAGCUUCUGCACCUCCAGCAAGUGACUUAAGAUCCAGGACCUGCCUGCCUGUAUUCCCUUCCAGGCUGCCGAAUGCCAAGACCUGCUCCAGAUGAAGGCUGCUUUGGCCAACCAAGACUCAUCUGCCCCCAGGGGGUCACAUGGCCAAGCCAGAGGAGACAGCAAGAAGCCAAAUCAACUCUGGGCCAGGUGGAUUCCCCAUUUAAGAGUCAUUGAUGCUUUGCGGUAAAGACCAGAGCGUGGAGAGAGGUGCUGGUGCCGCCCUUUCAGGAGCUACUCGUCCUGCGGUGAGUACAACCUAUGCGUGUAUGAACAGAUCAAUUUGCAUGGUAUUAGUUAUUUAUUUUAUAGUAGUUAUUCCCUCAGUCGUGGUAUGCCCUACACCAUUAUUCGCCACUUGCCAAGUGACUUAAGAGCACG